AUUUGUCUCAAGACUAAGCCAUGCACGUCUAAGUACAAACUAAAUGAUGGUGAAACUGCAAAUGGCUCAUUACAACGGCUAUGAUGUACCCGGGAGUUCCGAUGGAUAUUUCCAGUAACACUAGAACUAAUACAUGUCCCUGCGUUUAUUAGUUUCGCACAGUCCGUCGCUGAGUCAUGGUAAACAGUUGAUCGACUCGACGUCCCGGAACAGUUUCCGCUCCAUCAGCUUCGAUGGUUGGGUAUUGGCCUACCAUUGCAACAACGGGUAACGAGGAAUUAGGGUUUGAUUUCGGAGAGGGAGCCUGAGAAACGGCUACCACAUCUACGGAUGGCAGCAGGCGCGCAAAUUACCCAAUGCAGACACUGUGAGGUAGUGACGAGAAAUAAUAAAGCGGGACUUCUGUUUCGCUAUUAUAAUGAGGAAUAACCAAAGGUCAUUCCGAUUAGCAACUGAUGGGAAAGUCUGGUGCCAGCAGCCGCGGUAAUACCAGCGUCAGU
rnacentral:rRNA from 1 species